UUAAGCCAUGCAUGUCUAAGUACAAAUCUUGACGAUGAAACCGCGAAUGGCUCAUUAAAUCAGUUAUGGUUCCUUAGAUCGUACUAUCCUACUUGGAUAACUGUGGUAAUUCUAGAGCUAAUACAUGCAACUAAGCUUCCUGAGUAGAUCGCACGGUCUCGUACCGGCGACGCAUCUUUCAAAUGUCUGCCUUAUCAACUGUCGAUGGUAGGUUAUGCGCCUACCAUGGUUGCAACGGGUAACGGGGAAUCAGGGUUCGAUUCCGGAGAGGGAGCCUGAGAAACGGCUACCACAUCCAAGGAAGGCAGCAGGCGCGCAAAUUACCCACUCCCAGCACGGGGAGGUAGUGACGAAAAAUAACGAUGCGGGACUCAUCCGAGGCCCCGUGAUUGGAAUGAGUACACUUUAAAUCCUUUAACGAGGACCCAUUGGAGGGCAAGUCUGGUGCCAGCAGCCGCGGUAACUCCAGCUCCAAUAGCGUAUAUUAAAGUUGUUGCGGUUAAAAAGCUCGUAGUUGGAUUCCUGUUGCGAGCAGGCGGUGC
rnacentral:rRNA from 1 species